GAAAAAUAUGUAAGUAUGAAGCCUCUGUAAAUAUGUAUACUCGCUCAGAGAAAAAUAUGUAAGUAUGAAGCCUCUGUAAGUAUGUAUACUCGCUCAGAGAAAAAAUAUGUAAGUAUGAAGCCUCUGUAAAUAUGUAUUUUCGCUCAGAGAAUAAAAUGUAAGUAGAUCAGAGAGUAAUAUGUAAGUAAAAAUGCGAUUGGACAAUUUUGUAUUUUAUUUGCAGCGCCGACGGGAAAAAUGUAAAUGUAUGGUUGCAUGUAAUUUUUUACCAGGAGAGGUGAAAAAUAGUUAAUAUUUCUUGCCGGCGGGUAUGUGUAUUGUUUGAAAUUGUGAUUUUUUUUGUUUUGGAGAUAAGUGGACUGUAGAAUGUUGAUGUAAGAAUGAUGUACGGCCAACUGGACUUAGAAUUGUUGUACAUUAAUAUGCACAAAGGGGAGAACGAUUAAGAUGGAUGCACACAAAUUGCAAGUGGAAAAGUGAACAUUUGAAGUUAUUGAUUGCCGUAAUGUCGGAUUGAAAUCGGAAUUUGGUUUGACAUGAAUAUCAUCCAGAAAAGGAUCGAGCCACCGAAGCGGGGUCCAAAGGAAAAAUAUCCGGCUCGAAGGACCAAAAUGAACGUAGAGGGGUGGCCGAGUCCUAUGGAGGGUCCUGAAAGGUGCACAGGUCCUGUAGUUGAAAUGACGAGUCGUAGGUGUUUCGAUGGUAGGGGUGUGGGCGCAACCACUUUUAUUCGCUAUGUAAAUCGAACUGACUAUUCUAACUUAUUCUAAUGCUCUUCAUAGCGCAGUGGAGACUUCAUGGAGACUUCGUGGUGGGGAAAAAGGAAGCUGCGUGAGAGCGGAGAGCAGAUGGGGAGAGCGGAAAGCCGGGAAUACCGGGUGCUCCUUCGUGGCCUGAACACCAAUGAUGUAACCUCUCGACGUCAUCAAGGUAGUUCUCUUGGUCCUUUGCUUUUUAUUAUUAUCUUCUUUAUGCGGAUGACCUUAAAAUGUACAUGCCAGUGAAAUCCAUAAAUGACAGUUAUUUGCUACAAUCUUACUUGAACAGUG